rnacentral:rRNA from 1 species
AUUGAACGCUGGCGGCAGGCCUAACACAUGCAAGUCGAACGAGUGGCGGACGGGUGAGUCAUGUCUGGGAAAUUGCCUGAUGGAGGGGGAUAACUACUGGAAACGGUAGCUAAAACCGCAUACCAUCAGAUGUGCCCAGUUGGGAUUGGCUUGUUGGUGGGGUAACGGCUCACCAAGGCCACGAUCCCUAGCUGGUCGGAGAGGAUGACCAGCCAAACUGGAACUGGGACACGGUCCAGACUCUUACGGGAGGCAUCAGUGGGGAAUAGUGCACAAUGGGCGCAAGCCGGAUGCAGCCAGGCCGAGUAGAUGAAGAAGGCCUUCGGGUUGUAAAGUACUUUCAGCGGGGAGGCGUUACCCGCAGAAGAAGCGCCGGCUAACUCCGUGCCAGCCGCCGCGGUAAUUC